GGCUCCCGAAAACUAAGCAAGCUGGAAAAACUUUUGCACAACACAAUUUUCCAGCCUUCGGAUUCCGUUAGCUGGGCAAAGAGAUGGGAUAAUUCAAUGAGGAGCGGGAUCCUUUGACUGCCGAAAGUGGGCCAACAUUUCAUCGUCGCAGAAGAGUCGCCUUGGGACCCCGAGUAGAAGAGAAGCCUUUGCCUCUGACAUUUUGUCGUCGGCUCAUCGCAAUCAUAAUUUCCAUCUUUAUGAAUUUUAAAUGAGACAGGGACCGGUCUUCUCGGUCUGCUCCGUUUGCUCCGUCUUCUGCCUUGCAGCUGACAAACUUUGCACGCCUGUCACUGGGAAUUCAACUAAAUUUUUAAUAAGGUGCCCGGCCUUGGGUGCCACGCCCAAUUGUCGCAUAAGAGCUUAUGCCGUAUUUAGUCGGGUAAAUAUUUAUUUGAUUGGUAUUUUCUGCGAUAUCCGGAUUUGUGUGUUAGCGAGCCAGGAAACGGAAAUUGUGCGAGGUCGAUGGCAGCAGCAUUUAUUUUCAUAUUCCCAGCGAUGCGGAAAUGUAAAGAAAAAUCGUUCUUUUGUUGCGGCCCGAAUAAAUUUGCUCCCGCUUAUGUACAUACUCUAUACAGUAUCUGUCUGGCGGAUGAUAAAUGGUUCUCAAGAGGAGCUGAUGAGGCGCGAUGGAGGCUCAUUAAAGCUGAUGGAUAAUUCAGUGAGCACACAGCUGCAUUAAACUUGUAAUGAUCAUUGAAAAUCAAACUAAACUUUUGGCACUGUUUUAA